CGGUAUUCUCAAAGGAGGUUUAGUUAGUCCAUGGACUAAAUCGGUGGUUUAAACCUCCGAUUUAGUCCAUGGACUAAAUUUUGGUAUUCUCAAAGGUGAUUUAGUCGGGGGUUUAGUUAGUCCGUGGUCUAAACGCGUCGUUUUACGUCAUCAAUUUUAGUCAGCUCUCAUGGGUGGUUUAAACAAUUUAGUCCAUGGACUAAAUUUCGUGCGCAUGCGUAGUUGCUUAAUCGUCUGCAAUUUUUUUCACUCUUUUUCCCGCCCAAAAGUCAUCGGAGACAGAACAGAGCCCAAUUUAGUUUCGGGUUACGUGUAUAUUUCACUGAACCAGUUUUUGGUAAUUUUCGCCGAAAACGAGUCACGACUAAGCUGGUUACCUUUUGUAUCUUGGCCCUGACAGGGGCAGCAUCCACCAGUAUUUUCCCUGCCGUCAACAUAUGCAAUCACUUCUACAGUAGUGCAGGUUGUCUCCAACACAGCAGCUGUGCAAAAGACUACUUCCCCUUAAGCAGAGUCACAACUAAGCUGGUUACCUUUUGUAUCUUGGCCCUGACAGGGGCAGCAUCCACCAGUGUUUUCCCUGCCGUCAACA